rnacentral:tRNA from 9 species
GCGACACUAGCUCAGUUGGUAGAGCGCAACCUUGCCAAGGUUGAGGUCACGAGUUCGAACCUCGUGUGU